rnacentral:piRNA from 1 species
CUAAUCAAAAUAUAGUCUGGCCUGUCACAA